rnacentral:misc_RNA from 1 species
GCUCCUCACAGACACAAGUCCUUCUCCGCUCCGAGCAUAAGAAGUAUCGACGCAUGCUAAGAUAAAACCAAACACCACACUUCUCUGACGAUCUCCCCGAUGCUUCACCUCUCCCUCAUUUUAACUUAAAUAAUAUUUCUCUCUCCCUCCUCAGUUUUUGCCUUCACUUUCCCUCUUUUAGAUCAUAGUAGCUUCUCUCUAGUUGCUGCCUCCUCCGCUGAGAUCUCAAUUUCUCUGUCAAUUUCUGAUUCAAUUGCUCUUGAACCUUAAUUUGGAAAUUUGAAGAUCUAAUUUGCAGAUUUUGUUGUGAAAUUUGAAGCUAGUAAUUAUCGGAUUAGGAGAAUGGCUUCUGUAUCGCAUUCUCCAGCUGCAUUCA